rnacentral:rRNA from 1 species
CGCGUAGGCGGUUUUUUAAGUCGGAUGUGAAAGCCCGGGGCUUAACCCCGGAAGUGCAUUUGAAACUGAAAGACUUGAGUAUGGGAGAGGGAAGUGGAAUUCCUGGUGUAGAGGUGAAAUUCGUAGAUAUCAGGAGGAACACCGGUGGCGAAGGCGACUUCCUGGACCAAUACUGACGCUGAGGCGCGAAGGCGUGGGUAGCAAACA